GUGCUUACUUCAGUAGCACAUACACUAAAAUUUGGAACGAUACAGGGAAGAUUAGCAUGGCCCUUAUGCAAGGAUGACACACAAAUGUGUGAAGUGUUCCAUAUUCUC
ensembl:snRNA U6 U6 spliceosomal RNA